UGUGCCUUUAGACAUGGCCAAUUGCAAAUGCAGGAUCUAGCCAAAUGAAAACACACAUCACAGCUAGUUUUUCUCAAUUACUUCUCAAAAAUCUUUUGAAGACAAUCCAUACAGCAAUUUUUGACAUAUGAAAAAACUGGAACAAUUUUAUUUCCUGCUUGACCAACCUGAUCUCCUUCUAUGAUCUAGUGACCUGUCUGGUGGAUGAGGGAAAUGCUAGUGAUGUAGUCUACCUAGACUUCAGCAAAGCCUUUGACACUGCCUUUCACAGUAUUCUCCUGCAGAAGCUGGCAGCCCAUGGCUUGGACAGUCAGAUGGGCAGCAGUCAGCCAUGGGAGGAAAGGGAACAACUCCACAGACAGUCCUCAUCCCCUGGACGCUACCUGUGAAAUACUCCGUUCAGUCACUGGGGAAUACUGAAUGCAGGAGGGCCGUGUGAGAAGAG
ensembl:lncRNA